UUCUCUCACUUGCCACCUCUAGGAACCUAAGAGCUUGAAUAGAUUGGUCGGCUAGGAAGCUCAGUCUGCCUCUCAGUAUAACUGCAUUUCAGGGUAGCCACUUUGGAAGUCAGAGAUUGGUGACGGUGAAUGAUCUCUAGGAAGCAUUUCCUUCAAUCUUGAAAAGAUUGAGAAGGUGAUUGUUAUUAUACCUAUUUUUUUAGAUGAAGAACCUAAUUCUGAGUGUCCCCUGCCUAUGAAGUCCCACUUGCCUAUGAAGAACAUCAAGGAUUGUCCCAACACUCUCUUUCAAGGUGGCAAAACCUUAUGGGAGUCUAAAUCAUCAAAUUACUCUGUGGUGUUUCCCUGAGUCAGCAUUCAUUGAGCAGCCAUUGAGGAUAGAACAGUAAACAGCCCAAGAAACCUCUGCCAAGUUAGACCUGUUUAUGGCACGUGAAGUUGCAUAUAUGGAGGGCAAGACCACAUUGAAGAAAUGUCAAGAUGUAGGACUUUCAGCUCCUUCUCCAGCAUCAUGUCUGCCUGCAAGCCACCAUGCUGCACCAAGAUGGUAAUGGAUUAAACCUCUGAAAAUGUCGAGACGUAGGACUCUCGGCUCCUUCUCGAGCACCAGUUCUGCCUGCAUGCCACCAUGUCCCAUAAGGAUGAUAAUGGACCAAGUAAACCUGGGAAAACGUCCUGAACACAGACACUGAAAAUACUUCCAAGGGAGCACCAGCUGCAGAUACUCAUUCUAUUUUCUACGUCUUUUAUGUUCUCCCCAACAUUAUUUUUAUAUGUGUAUGUGGUGUAAAUAUUUGUAUGUGCACUUAUACAUCCAUGUGGGUUCAUGUUCUUGAAUGGACAAGUAUAUGUGGAGGCCCAAGGUUAAAGUUGGGAAUCAUCCUCAACUGCUUUUCCACUAUGUUCAUUAAGGCAGAGGCUCAAAGUAAAACCCAAACUUCAGUGAUAUGACUAGUCUUACUAGCAAGUUUGCUUUGUGAAUCUCCUUUUCUCCACCUUCCAAGACUGAAAUUACAGGUGGAACACACUGGCCACUCAUCGUGUACAAGUGUUCUGGAGAUCCAAAGUCUGGUUCUUGUACUUGCAUACAAAAUACUUUAACCACUGAGCCAUCUCCGAAUACCAGCUUUUAUAUUUUCAUUUUGGUUUGUGAAUCAAGAUCAUGCAGAGAAAGAUCUCUUAUGAGGUAAACAGCAUAGCCAGUUAUCCCUGACUGGCCCAAUCUAGGGCUACAUCUACUUCAUGCACAAAUGGAGAUGAGGAAUCCUGGACUUGGAA